CUCUGAGUUACUCUUACCGAUUGUAGGAAAAGGCAAGCAUGCUGAAGAACAGUUGGCUCCACGGGUGACUACGAGUUUGGGGUGGGACCCCAGGGACAGGCUAUUUAUGGCGAACUGGGGAAACACAGCCAAAGAAACACCCACUGUAAGAGCAUUAGCUGUGUGGCCCCAGCCCCCGCGCCUCGGCUCCCCAGGGAAUGGCCACUUCUCCACUAUCUGCUCGGGCAAGUUACUUGAUUUGCCUGAGCUUCACUUCUCACCGCUAAAAUGGGGGCACUCCUACCUGCCUGACAGGUGUAAGAAGACAGAUAGAGGAACCUAAAGUACCUGGCUCAAGCUGGCCCAGGGCUGGCAAGCCCUUCUGCGGAGCCACCCUGCCCUGGAGGCUGGACUGCCUGUUUCUGAAGCCACCUUCCGUGGGUCCUAAGUGAGGUCUGCAAGAAACUGGCUGUCACCAUCCAAGCCUGCCAGCUUCACAUGAUAAAACUCCCUGGCACUCUGAGCUGGUGUGCCCCACAGACACCUCACCACCACCCGCUCCAGGGAGGGGCCCUCCUGAGUGAUGUGCCAGGAGGCAGGGCCAGGCCUGCUGGGAGGCGGGCCUGCCUCAUCGGUAUUUCCAUUUCCACUCAGCCCUCAGGCUGAAAGGGAGGAAUGGGACACUCCUCAAAGCCAGCACGGUAAUUGAGGAGGCAUUAAGCUUAAUUAGGCUAAUCGUCUGCCUGAAGUCAUUCACCUUCAACCUCCAAAAAGCAACUUCAGAAAAAACCUCGUAGCAGCCGUGGGGCUGGAGGGCGCAGGUGGAGGAUUAAGGAGCUGGUGUCUGGAAUUCCUAAGAGGAUUCCGGCACGGUCUCAGGAGUCUUGGGGUGCAGAGCCAACCAACUAAACCUAUGCCCAAGACGGACCCAAAGGGGAACUUCUCAGCUUUUAGUCCCAAGCCGGGAUCUGGGCUUGGCUGAGGCUGGGGGACUUUUCCGGUUUCCCUCUGAGCCUAUUUGAUUUGGUCAGUGGAGACCUGACCAAGGGAGCCGAUGUGCCCACACACGUUCCCACAGGUCCCCACAGGUUUACUUUCUCCAGCUGUUUCGCUCCCCAUAGCAAUGGCCUCCUGUCUGCCAGGGCUGAAGGACAGACAGUGGUGUUUAAUUUUGUGUAACUGACCAACUAACAGACAGAAAGACUUCCCCAUCUUUCUGUGGAGUGACUCUUUACUCAAAAGACCCGCAUGCAAGCGUUGAUGGCUGAAAAGCCCAGCUGAAAAUGAGCAAUCCUUUGCAAUGAGGAAAAAAACAAACAAAUAAUCUAUUUAGCAGCUACAUGGAAUCCCAAACCCCCAUAUCUCAAAAGCUCCAGGGAAUAGAGACUGGAGAGGCCAAACCAG
rnacentral:lncRNA from 1 species